UCUGCUAUGCACAAAAAUCUACUGCGCCAAUGUCCAACCGAGAGAGCAGAGAGGUCCACCGGCCCAUUGAAAACCCUAGCCCGCUGCUGCCUCCUCGACACACUGCGAGGAGAGCCUCCUCGGAGGAGGGGACAGCCGCAUCUGCCGCUGAUAUUCGACGGCCGGCAUUUUCCCUGGUGUCUGGCCGUGAAUGUUUAGGGUCCAAUGGCUGGGUGGGGCGCUUCUACAUAGUGCAGGAGGUCGAGCUGAUUGCCCACAAGGGCCACAAGCCCACAAUGGUGACCUCGACUCUACCAUCUAGGAUUCUAGGAACUCUCCAACAUCGGCAUCAAGGGUUGAGCAGAUAAUUGGAAGAACCAUAUUUUCUCAAUGCAAGCAACCUGGGAAUAACCUUGAGAUCUGCAAGGUGUGAGUAGGAACUGAGGCUCCACUCUUAGAGCAACACUCACGUGUUGAGCUUUUGGUUGUCCUUAUUUGUAAGGGGCAGACCUACCAUUACAUCAGGAAAUCGGGAUGCCAUCAGUUUCUCCUAUCAUAACUGAGGUGCUUGCUAUCAAAGUUAUUAGUGGAAACAUUGCCGACUGGAUGAAGAAGGAAGGGGAAAAAGUCUCACUAGGUGUAGAAGGUCGAGCUGCUCGUCCUCAUGGUGCACCAUAGCUACCUCGCUGCUGCCAUCCAGGACCUGUCAACAUCGGCAUCACAAGGUACUG